rnacentral:misc_RNA from 1 species
GCAGUUCCGGUAUUUAGUUUUCGGAUAUACAGUUGCGUAGAAGUCACAAGAACUUGAAGAAGCGUUUCUGAAAUAACUGUCUUAAAAUGCUGGCCUCAAAAUUGUGCCGCAUUCCCAUCACCAGUUUCGUUUCUGGCAUUGGGAGACCUCUGAACAAGCCUCAGUUAUGUAUGAGAACCCGCACCCAGCAGCUGGCUUCAGAUUCACGGUCCGGUGCGACCCGUCGAGCUCAGAGAACAAGAAUUUCAUUGGAGAAGCUGACUACACCAGCAGGUGAAACAGCUUUCACUGUUGGGAAAGGAAUGGUUGCCGGCGGAGCAGCACUCGGCUUGGGAUCUUUGUGUUUCUAUGGACUGGCCUCCAAAGAAAUAUCAGCCCUAGAUAAAAGAGCAUUCUGGUCUGAUGAGGUCAAACAAAGAAUUCGAUCCACUUACUUUUACUUUGGAGCCAGCAUUGGACUAACUGCUGCUACUGCUGUGGCCAUUGCCAGAACUCCUGCUCUAAUGAAUAUUGCAAUGAAAAGUUCAAUGACAUCCAUGAUUGGAGGCAUUGUAGUUCUGAUUGGUACCAGCAUGUUGACACAGUCCAUCCCAUACAAAGAAGGCAUUGGCAGCAAACAGCUUGCCUGGAUGUUACACAGUGCUGUGGUGGGAGGGAUUGUUGCCCCCCUCACCAUGCUGGGAGGUCCCCUCCUUGUUAGAGCUGCCUGGUACACUGCAGGAGUAGUCGGAGGUUUGUCAGCUCUUGCCAUGUGUGCACCUAGUGAGAAAUUCCUGAACAUGGGAGGCCCUACUCCAUCAGUAUCUACGGUGGCCUGGUCCUGUUCAGCAUGUUCCUGCUCUAUGACACACAGAAGGUGAUCAAGAGGGCCGAGAAUCACCCUGUCUACAGCGCCCAGAAGUUUGACCCCAUCAAUGCAUGCAUGGGAAUUUACAUGGACACAAUAAACAUCUUCAUCAGAAUUGCUACAAUCCUGGCUGGUGGUGGUGGUAGAAGAAAGUAAACAACACUUGCUGCAGGAAACCCAGCUUCUUAUAUGUAAUUAGGGGACAAGUGAUAACUCUCUACUAGAUUUGGAAGAGAUUGGUUUUUGUGACUGUGUAAUAAGACAGUGAUUUAAACUGCAGAUUCUCAGUCUAUGUAUAUUACUGUAAUAAAUGUUAUGUGCUGUUGUGUUUGAUAAACUUGGCCUCUGUC